rnacentral:rRNA from 1 species
AUUGAACGCUGGCGGCAGGCUUAACACAUGCAAGUCGAGCGGAGCGAGGGUGCUUGCACCUUAGCUUAGCGGCGGACGGGUGAGUAAUGCUUAGGAAUCUGCCUAUUAGUGGGGGACAACAUUCCGAAAGGGAUGCUAAUACCGCAUACGCCCUACGGGGGAAAGCAGGGGAUCUUCGGACCUUGCGCUAAUAGAUGAGCCUAAGUCGGAUUAGCUAGUUGGUGGGGUAAAGGCCUACCAAGGCGACGAUCUGUAGCGGGUCUGAGAGGAUGAUCCGCCACACUGGGACUGAGACACGGCCCAGACUCCUACGGGAGGUAGCAGUGGGGAAUAUUGGACAAUGGGCGGAAGCCUGAUCCAGCCAUGCCGCGUGUGUGAAGAAGGCCUUUUGGUUGUAAAGCACUUUAAGCGAGGAGGAGGCUCUUAAGGUUAAUACCCUUGAUGAGUGGACGUUACUCGCAGAAUAAGCACCGGCUAACUCUGUGCCAGCAGCCGCCGUAACAC